GAGAUCACAGGAGCACAAAGGUGUUCAGGAAUGGCCACUCUGCAAGGCAAGGUUGUUGUGUAAUCAGAUCACACAGUUCUCUUACAUGGUCACUACAGGACUACUAUAUCAGACUGGGGGCAAACUGUCUUGCAGUGGAGCAUACUUCAGAGAGAGCUCUUUGCAUGGCUGUGGGAUUACACUGGAUUCUGGAAAGACUGAGGUGAAUGGCAAAUAGGAAAUGUGUACAUCCUCACAAGUAGGAGCCCACUGACUCUGGAAGAAAACACAAGGAGCCCGACAAGGCCUAGUCAGUUCAAACAGGUUUCUUACCUGUAUAACUCUUUCAAACAUGUGAGCCAGAGGCAGGAAGGAGAUGAGCACAUCGUCCUGUCUCGGAAAGAUCACUUUCUGCAGGUGAAGGGCAUGGGAGACAGAAAGGAAAGAAACACUGACAGGAAGACAACAAGAGAGUCAUAAAACAAUAAAAAGAAAAAUGGCACCAGAGGAGCAAAAGGGUAAAGAUUAUCAAGAAAGAGCGAGCGAGCGAGAGAGAGAGAGAGCGAGCAGCAUACGAAGCGAAGCGUUAGGCCACAACAUCAAUGAAACUAAGUUAGCAGGAGUAGUAAAGAGCGCAAGGAUGUACAUAGAGAGCA